AAUUGAGGUAACCUAAAUUCUAGUUUUUUGUAGUUUUCUGUUAUAAACCAAACUAGUGAUAAACAAGAAACUAAAAGAUUCAAUUGCAAGAUCUAAAUAUAUACCUUCAAGCACUCACCUCCCCGACAACGGCGCUAGAAUAGAGCUUGAUGUCUACUACACAACUUUAUUCUUGUAGACUCUAUUGGGCCUCCAAGUGCAGAGUUUGUAGGACAGUAGCAAUUUUCUGUCAAGUCGGUGACCCAAGGUUUAUCAAUUCAUGGGAGGUGUAGGAUGAAGAUGGUCUCUCUCAAAAAAGCCUGCAAUCAAAUACAAGAAAUCUCUUGUGUCCCCAACACACCCAAUACAAUGGCAAAUUGUAUAGGUGCACUAUUUCGACGAAGGGAUGGUGAUGCAAGUGUAGUAUGGAUAGUAGAUAUAGGGUUUUGUAAUAUGAAAAUAUAAAACAGUAAGGUAACAAGUACUAAAAGUGAGCAUAAACGGUAGUGCAAUGCUUGGAAAUAAGGCCUAGGGUUCAUACUUUCACUAGUGCUUUCUCUCAACAAUGCUAACAUAAUAGAAUCAUGUGAUAAUGCCUCAACUUACGAUAAAGAAUCACUCCAAAGUUCAUAUAUAGCAAAGAACAUAAUACGAAAUUGUUUUAGGUAGUAGAAACACCUCAAAGCUAUUUUUUCCUAUCAAUCUAUUGAGCUAUUCAUAUAAGUGUGACAAACAACUCUAGAGUUCGUAAUAACACCUAUGAUACACAUCAAUCAACCCUAAUGUCACCUAGAUACUCCAAUGU
rnacentral:lncRNA from 1 species